AACGCGUUAAGUAUCCCGCCUGGGGAGUACGGUCGCAAGACUAAAACUCAAAGGAAUUGACGGGGACCCGCACAAGCGGUGGAGCAUGUGGUUUAAUUCGAUGCUAAGCGGAGAACCUCACCAAGAUUUGACAUCCUACUGACCGCCACUGGAAACAGAGGCUUUCCUUUUGGACAGUAGUGGCAGGUGCUGCACGGUUGUCGUCAGCUCGUGUCGUGAGAUGUACGGUUAAGUCCGAUAACGAGCGCAACCCCUAUUGCAUGUUGUAUUUUUCAUGCGAGACUGCCGUGGUUAACACGGAGGAAGGUGGGGAUGACGUCAAAUCAGCGUGGCCCUUAUAUCUUGGGCGACACACGUGCUACAAUGGCCGGGUCACAAAGGGUUGCGAAGUCGUAAGACGGAGCUAAUCCCAUCAAAACCGGCCUCAGUUCGGAUUGAGGGCUGCAACUCGCCCUCAUGAAGUUGGAAUCGCUAGUAACCGUGGAUCAGCCAUGCCGCGGUGAAUACGUUCUCGGGUCUUGUACACACCGCCCGUCACACCACGAGAGCUAGGGGCGCCCGAAAUCUCUCUUUUUAGAGGGCCUAAGGUGAAACUAGUA
rnacentral:rRNA from 1 species